UACGUAGGGGGCAAGCGUUGUCCGGAAUCAUUGGGCGUAAAGAGCGUGUAGGCGGCUUGGCAAGUCUGGUGUGAAAUCUUGCGGCUCAACCGCAAGCGGUCACUGGAAACUGCCUCGCUAGAGUCCGGAAGAGGAGAGCGGAAUUCCUGGUGUAGCGGUGGAAUGCGCAGAUAUCAGGAAGAACACCCGUGGCGAAGGCGGCCUGCUGGGCAGUUUAGCUGACACUGAGGCGCGGACAGCGUGGGGAGCAAACAGG
rnacentral:rRNA from 1 species